rnacentral:rRNA from 1 species
GGGGCAUGUGAGGGCUGUCGCUGACUCAAUGUCGUGCACGCCCGAGCGUGUCCUCUCACAUAAUAAUCCAUCUCACCCUUUGUGCAUCGCCGCGUGGGCACCCUUUGGGAUCAUCUCGGAGGGGGCUCGCGUUUUCACACAAACCCCCCCCUUUUAAAAGUGUAGAAUGACCUCAUUUAUGCGCUAACCCGCAAUCAAUACAACUUUCAACAACGGAUCUCUUGGCUCUCGCAUCGAUGAAGAACGCAGCGAAAUGCGAUACGUAAUGUGAAUUGCAGAAUUCAGUGAAUCAUCGAAUCUUUGAACGCACCUUGCGCCCCUUGGUAUUCCGAGGGGCACACCCGUUUGAGUGUCGUGAAAACCUCAACCUCCUUGGUUUCUUCUGGAGACCAAAGCAGGCUUGGACUUUGGAGGCCUUUGCUGGCACCUCUCUCUUUUGAAGGUCAGCUCCUCUUAAAUGAAUUAGCAGGGUCCUCUUUGCUGAUCCUCGACGUGUGAUAAGAUGUUUCCAUGUCUUGGUUUCUGGCUCUGUCACUCUUGGGACCCGCUUCUAACCGUCUUGACCUUGCGUCGAGACAAUGUUSGAGCACGUCUCCCAUCUSGGGAAGCUCCCUSGACC